GCUGUCUAAACAAGAUUAGCAGUGUGGAGAAAGAGAAAUGUGGAGGACCAACUGAUAAGGGCACAGAACCUCAGCGCUAACUAUGUGGCCGCUGUAGCAUGCAGUGGAAUGUUUCUCAUCCCUUUAAAGGCAAAGUGGGCUUGGUGACAACAACAAUCGCUGAAGACCAAGAAGAGCGAGUCAUCCUUCUUUUCUU